rnacentral:tRNA from 1 species
AAGGCUUUAGCUUAAUUAAAGUGUCUGUUUUGCAUGCAGAAGAUGUGGGUUAGUAUCCCGCAAGUCUUAAC